rnacentral:rRNA from 1 species
CGAGCGUUGUUCGGAAUUACUGGGCGUAAAGCGUAUGUAGGCUGUAAUGUAAGUUUGGUGUAAAAAGUUUGAGGCUCAACCUUAAAAAGUCACUGAAUACUGCAUUGCUAGAGAUUGGGAGAGGUAAAUGGAAUUCCUAGUGGUAGAAGUAAAAUUCGUCGAUAUUAGGAGGAACACCAGAGACGAAAGUGAUUUACUGGAACAAAUCUGACGCUGAGAUACUAAAAGCGUGGGGAGCAAACAGGAUUAGAUACCCUGGUAGUCCACGCCCUAAACGAUGACAGUUAGAUGUUGGACUUUUAUGAGUUCAGUGUUGAAGCUAACGCUUUAAACUAGUCCGCCUGAGGAGUACGGUCGCAAGAUUAAAACUCAAAAGGAAUUGACGGGGACCCGCACAAGCGGUGGAACAUGUGUUUAAUUUGAAAGUACACGAAGAACCUUACCAGCUCUUGACAUAAUAG